UACGGGGGGGGCAAGCGUUGUUCGGAAUUACUGGGCGUAAAGGGCUCGUAGGUGGCCAACUAAGUCAGACGUGAAAUCCCUCGGCUUAACCGGGGAACUGCGUCUGAUACUGGAUGGCUAGAGUUUGGGAGAGGGAUGCUGAAUUCCAGGUGUAGCGGUGAAAUGCGUAGAUAUCAGGAGGAACACCUGCGGUGUAGACGGCUUACUGGACCAUCACUGACGCUGAGGCACGAAAGCGUGGGUGGCAAACAGG
rnacentral:rRNA from 1 species